rnacentral:rRNA from 1 species
CGUAGGUGGCAAGCGUUGUCCGGAAUUAUUGGGCGUAAAGCGCGCGCAGGCGGUUUCUUAAGUUGGGUGUGAAAGCCCUCGGCUCAACCGAGGAGGGUCACUCAAACUGGGAGACUGGAGUGCAGAAGAGGAGAGUGGAAUUCCAUGUGUAGCGGUGAAAUGCGUAGAUAUAUGGAGGAACACCAGUGGCGAAGGCGGCUCUCUGGUCUGUAACUGACGCUGAGGCGCGAAAGCGUGGGAGCAAACAGGAUU